UGCAGGCAGAUCCCCAAGCUCCUCAGGCAGCUGCAGGAAUUCACAGACCUCGGGCACCGCCUCGACUGUCUGGACCUGAAAGGUGAGAAGCUUGACUACAAGACCUGUGAGGCCCUGGAAGAGGUCUUCAAGAGGCUGCAGUUCAAGGUCGUGGACCUGGAGCAGACAAACCUGGAUGAAGAUGUGAGCGGCCCUGCCACCGCCCACUCGGCUCCCUGAGCUCCCGGGCCCCUUCGAGGGUGCCUCGGCCCUCUUCGACAUGAUCGAGUACUACGAGUCGGCCACCCACCUCAACAUCUCCUU
rnacentral:sRNA from 1 species